GACGAACGCUGGCGGCGUGCCUAAUACAUGCAAGUAGAACGCUGAAGAGAGGAGCUUGCUCUUCUUGGAUGAGUUGCGAACGGGUGAGUAACGCGUAGGUAACCUGCCUGGUAGCGGGGGAUAACUAUUGGAAACGAUAGCUAAUACCGCAUGAUAUUAAUUAUUGCAUGAUAAUUGAUUGAAAGAUGCAAUUGCAUCACUACCAGAUGGACCUGCGUUGUAUUAGCUAGUUGGUGAGGUAACGGCUCACCAAGGCGACGAUACAUAGCCGACCUGAGAGGGUGAUCGGCCACACUGGGACUGAGACACGGCCCAGACUCCUACGGGAGGCAGCAGUAGGGAAUCUUCGGCAAUGGGGGGAACCCUGACCGAGCAACGCCGCGUGAGUGAAGAAGGUUUUCGGAUCGUAAAGCUCUGUUGUAAGAGAAGAACGGGUGUGAGAGUGGAAAGUUCACACUGUGACGGUAUCUUACCAGAAAGGGACGGCUAACUACGUGCCAGCAGCCGCGGUAAUACGUAGGUCCCGAGCGUUGUCCGGAUUUAUUGGGCGUAAAGCGAGCGCAGGCGGUUAGAUAAGUCUGAAGUUAAAGGCUGUGGCUUAACCAUAGUAUGCUUUGGAAACUGUUUAACUUGAGUGCAGAAGGGGAGAGUGGAAUUCCAUGUGUAGCGGUGAAAUGCGUAGAUAUAUGGAGGAACACCGGUGGCGAAAGCGGCUCUCUGGUCUGUAACUGACGCUGAGGCUCGAAAGCGUGGGGAGCAAACAGGAUUAGAUACCCUGGUAGUCCACGCCGUAAACGAUGAGUGCUAGGUGUUAGGCCCUUUCCGGGGCUUAGUGCCGCAGCUAACGCAUUAAGCACUCCGCCUGGGGAGUACGACCGCAAGGUUGAAACUCAAAGGAAUUGACGGGGGCCCGCACAAGCGGUGGAGCAUGUGGUUUAAUUCGAAGCAACGCGAAGAACCUUACCAGGUCUUGACAUCCCUCUGACCGCUCUAGAGAUAGAGUUUUCCUUCGGGACAGAGGUGACAGGUGGUGCAUGGUUGUCGUCAGCUCGUGUCGUGAGAUGUUGGGUUAAGCCCCGCAACGAGCGCAACCCCUAUUGUUAGUUGCCAUCAUUCAGUUGGGCACUCUAGCGAGACUGCCGGUAAUAAACCGGAGGAAGGUGGGGAUGACGUCAAAUCAUCAUGCCCCUUAUGACCUGGGCUACACACGUGCUACAAUGGCUGGUACAACGAGUCGCAAGCCGGUGACGGCAAGCUAAUCUCUGAAAGCCAGUCUCAGUCCGGAUUGUAGGCUGCAACUCGCCUACAUGAAGUCGGAAUCGCUAGUAAUCGCGGAUCAGCACGCCGCGGUGAAUACGUUCCCGGGCCU
rnacentral:rRNA from 1 species